AAUGUGAAUUAAAAUAAACUGAUAUUUUGAUUAUUUUUAGAUCCAGAAAAAUGGUUUUCUUUUCAUUAUUCAUACCUGCAUGCAAACAGUUUGUGUAGUGCAGAGAAAAGUAUGAAAUUUCCUCUUAUAGCUGUCCCCCAAUUCUGAACUCCCACAGGAUGAUUUAAACUGAAUAUCAUGGCAGAAGAAAGCUUAAAGGGAUCCUAGAAUUCAUUUAGUCCAGGUGUCUGCAACUAUGACCCACUGGCCAAAUCUGGCCCACUGCCUGUUUUUGUAAAUAAAAUUUUAUUGGAAAGCAA